rnacentral:tRNA from 1 species
GGAGGCGGGCAGGUGCCUGGUGGUCCUCACGGUCUUCAAAACCGAUGCGACCGAGUAGCUCGGUUGGGCGGGUUCGAUUCCCGUACGCCUCCGCCA